UGCGUAGGCUGUUUGAUAAGUCAGGCGUGAAAUCCCUCGGCUCAACCGGGGAACUGCGUUUGAUACUGUUGAACUAGAGUCCUGGAGAGGGUGGCGGAAUUCCUGGUGUAGGAGUGAAAUCCGUAGAUAUCAGGAGGAACACCGGUGGCGAAGGCGGCCACCUGGACAGGUACUGACGCUGAGGUACGAAAGCGUGGGGAGCAAACA
rnacentral:rRNA from 1 species